rnacentral:rRNA from 1 species
UACGUAGGGUGCAAGCGUUAAUCGGAAUUACUGGGCGUAAAGCGUGCGCAGGCGGUUAUGUAAGACAGGUGUGAAAUCCCCGGGCUUAACCUGAGAACUGCAUUUGUGACUGCAUAGCUAGAGUACGGUAGAGGGGGAUGGAAUUCCGCGUGUAGCAGUGAAAUGCGUAGAUAUGCGGAGGAACACCGAUGGCGAAGGCAAUCCCCUGGACCUGUACUGACGCUCAUGCACGAAAGCGUGGGGAGCAAACAGG